GUGCUAAUAAAGGGUGAAAUCAAUUUUUUAGCAUACAGUAAAAUAAAAGCUUUGAUUUAAAUUGAAGCUGUUAAGAUAAAGGGAUGAACCAGGAUUAGAUACCCUGUUACACUUUAUUUAAAUUAUAAUUACCUGGGUACUAAACAGUUAUUAUCUUGAAACUCAAAGGAUUUGGCGGUAACUUAGUCUAUUUAGAGGAACCUGUCCUGUAAUCGAUAGUCCACGAAAAAUCUUACUUUACCUUGUAAAAACAGUUUGUAUACCGUCAUUAUUAGGUAACUUUUAUAAAAGGAGAAGUUACUAAAAUAGUUUAGCUAAUAUAUUAGAUCAAGGUGCAGCUAAUGGUAAAGGAAGAGAUGGGUUACAAUAUACUAAAGUAAACGGAACAAUAAAUGAAUAUUUACUGAUAAAGGUGGAUUUAAGAGUAAAAUAAUUUUAACAAGAUUAUUUGACUUUAGCUCUAGGUUAUGUACACAUCGCCCGUCGCUCUCGUUAAUUAAAGC
rnacentral:rRNA from 1 species